rnacentral:rRNA from 1 species
GNAGCUGGCGGCGUGCCUAAUACAUGUCAAGUCGAGCGAAUGGAUUAAGAGCUUGCUCUUAUGAAGUUAGCGGCGGACGGGUGAGUAACACGUGGGUAACCUGCCCAUAAGACUGGGAUAACUCCGGGAAACCGGGGCUAAUACCGGAUAACAUUUUGAACCGCAUGGUUCGAAAUUGAAAGGCGGCUUCGGCUGUCACUUAUGGAUGGACCCGCGUCGCAUUAGCUAGUUGGUGAGGUAACGGCUCACCAAGGCAACGAUGCGUAGCCGACCUGAGAGGGUGAUCGGCCACACUGGGACUGAGACACGGCCCAGACUCCUACGGGAGGCAGCAGUAGGGAAUCUUCCGCAAUGGACGAAAGUCUGACGGAGCAACGCCGCGUGAGUGAUGAAGGCUUUCGGGUCGUAAAACUCUGUUGUUAGGGAAGAACAAGUGCUAGUUGAAUAAGCUGGCACCUUGACGGUACCUAACCAGAAAGCCACGGCUAACUACGUGCCAGCAGCCGCGGUAAUACGUAGGUGGCAAGCGUUAUCCGGAAUUAUUGGGCGUAAAGCGCGCGCAGGUGGUUUCUUAAGUCUGAUGUGAAAGCCCACGGCUCAACCGUGGAGGGUCAUUGGAAACUGGGAGACUUGAGUGCAGAAGAGGAAAGUGGAAUUCCNUGUGUAGCGGGUGAAAUGCCGUAGAGAUAUGGAGGAACACCAGUUGGCCGAAGGCGACUUUCUGGUCUGA